UACGAAGGGGGCUAGCGUUGCUCGGAAUCACUGGGCGUAAAGCGCACGUAGGCGGAUUGCUAGUCAGGGGUGAAAUCCUGGAGCUCAACUCCAGAACUGCCUUUGAUACUGGCGAUCUCGAGUCCGGGAGAUGGUGAGUGGAACUGCGAAGUGUAGAGGUGAAAUUCGUAGAUAUUCGCAAGAACACCAGUGGCGAAGGCGGCUCACUGGCCCGGUACUG
rnacentral:rRNA from 1 species